AAAUUGAAGAGUUUGAUCAUGGCUCAGAUUGAACGCUGGCGGCAGGCCUAACACAUGCAAGUCGAGCGGUAGCACAGAGAGCUUGCUCUCGGGUGACGAGCGGCGGACGGGUGAGUAAUGUCUGGGAAACUGCCUGAUGGAGGGGGAUAACUACUGGAAACGGUAGCUAAUACCGCAUAAU
rnacentral:rRNA from 2 species